GGAUCAUUAAAAUAUCAGGUCCUCUCGAGGAUGUCUGAAACCCUUGAAUAUACAAACUUUGUUGCUUUGGCAGGUCGUCCUCGGGCGUUGGCCACGGCUGACAGUACCUGCCAGAGGACCACAAUUCUUUUGUUUAGUAAUGUCUGAGUACUAUAUAAUAGUUAAAACUUUCAACAACGGAUCUCUUGGUUCUGGCAUCGAUGAAGAACGCAGCGAAAUGCGAUAAGUAAUGUGAAUUGCAGAAUUCAGUGAAUCAUCGAAUCUUUGAACGCACAUUGCGCCCCUUGGUAUUCCGAGGGGCAUGCCUGUUCGAGCGUCAUUAUGACCAAUCCCGCAAGGGGUCUUGGGGCUCGCCAUCUCGGCGUCCCUUAAAAUCAGUGGCUGUGCCAUCGUGCUCUAAGCGUAGUAAUUCUUCUCGCUAUAGAGUCCCGGUGAUGCUUGCCAGCAACCUCUAUUUUUUAAGGUUGACCUC
rnacentral:rRNA from 1 species